rnacentral:rRNA from 1 species
UCUGUAACGACUAGGGCGCAGCCUGAUCAGCCAUGCCGCGUGAGUGAUGAAGGCCUUAGGGUUGUAAAGCUCUUUCACCGAUGAAGAUAAUGACGGUAGUCGGAGAAGAAGCCCCGGCUAACUUCGUGCCAGCAGCCGCGGUAAU